UACGGGGGGAGCAAGCGUUGUUCGGAUUUACUGGGCGUAAAGGGCGCGUAGGCGGCCAGCACAAGUCAGUUGUGAAAUCUCCGGGCUUAACUCGGAAAGGUCAACUGAUACUGUGCGGCUAGAGUGCAGAAGGGGCAACUGGAAUUCUCGGUGUAGCGGUGAAAUGCGUAGAUAUCGAGAGGAACACCUGCGGCGAAGGCGGGUUGCUGGGCUGACACUGACGCUCAGGCACGAAAGCGUGGGGAGCAAAAGGG
rnacentral:rRNA from 1 species